CCUACGGGAGGCAGCAGUGGGGAAUAUUGCACAAUGGGGGAAACCCUGAUGCAGCAACGCCGCGUGGGUGAAGGAGCGUUUCGGCGCGUAAAGCCCUGUCAGCGGGGAAGAAGAAAGACGGUACCCGACCAAGACGCCCCGGCUAACUACGUGCCAGCAGCCGCGGUAAUACGUAGGGGGCGAGCGUUAUCCGGAAUUACUGGGUGUAAAGGGAGCGUAGACGGCAGCGCAAGUCUGGAGUGAAAUGCCGGGGCCCAACCCCGGAACUGCUCUGGAAACUGUGAAGCUGGAGUGCAGGAGAGGUAAGCGGAAUUCCUGGUGUAGCGGUGAAAUGCGUAGAUAUCAGGAGGAACACCGGCGGCGAAGGCGGCUUACUGGACUGUAACUGACGUUGAGGCUCGAAGGCGUGGGGAGCAAACAGGAUUAGAUACCCCAGUAGUC
rnacentral:rRNA from 1 species